rnacentral:lncRNA from 1 species
GGAGUUCAGCCGUGUCCUAACAACCAUGAGAGGAACAAGAGGUUACCUUGCACCUGAAUGGAUUUCAGGAGUGGCCAUAACAGCCAAAGCGGAUGUCUACAGCUAUGGAAUGAUGCUGUAUGAAUUUGUAUCAGGAAGGAGGAACUCCCAGGAAUCUGAAGAUGGUAAAGUGAAGUUCUUCCCAUCUUGGGCUGCUAAACAAAUAGUUGAAGGCAGCAAUCUCAUUAGCCUAUUAGACCCAAGACUGGAGGGCAACGCUGACGAAGAAGAGCUUGCAAGACUUUGCAAUGUGGCUUGUUGGUGCAUCCAAGAUGAUGAGACUCACAGGCCAUCAAUGGGUCAAGUAGUUCAAAUUCUUGAGGGAGUUUUGGACGUGACACUGCCUCCAAUUCCCAGAGCUCUCCAAGUAAUGGUCGAUGACCAUGAGCACGUAGUCUUCUUCACUGAAUCAUCCACAUCUCAGAGUUCCCUGUCAAAGAGCAACAAUUCAACUGCUUCAUCUCAAGCAAAGAGUACCACAUCAUCAAGAAGUUCUUAAAUCGAUGUGAAGAAAAUAUUUUAACAUUUGUGUUUAAGAAUAUAUAUUUGGUUUAUUUCACUUGUAACAACCUGUAUGCAUAUUUGGAUAGAAGCCUUGCUUCGUAGUGUAUAAUAAUAAUGCCCCCUGCCAAAGCAAUUUUAAGAAUCACAAGCCUUGUGCCUCGCUGUUCUCUCUAAUGAACUCUGAUUGAUCUAUGCUCCUCUGCAUUGACUAUUGGCUUCACCUAAUCGCUUCAAUUGGCAAAAUUAGGUAUUGAAAUGAAAGCGACUUGGAACUUGGAAGUUAUCCAGAAGAAGGGGAAAAACAGCAAAAACAAUCAAACAAACAAACAUAAACGUGACGUAGUAACAAAUAACAUGGGUCAAGAUAUAAAUCAACUGGCCAACAUUGUUCAAUAAACUUUUUCCAACAUCUAAACUUUUUCAACCGAACCUGAAUUUUCUUGAGAGUUUUUUUGAGGCAUCAUGAUUGGUAAGGAGCUUGAAGGCAAAGUUCAACAGUUUCAUGACAAAGUUACAACCAUCGAUGAAAAGGUUACGACCUUAGCCAAGCAAAAUAACGAUUUGCAGAAACUCAUGAAACAUCCUUCAGCAAUUGAGCCAGUUGCGAAAAGAAAAACAACCGACUACUGAUCAAAGACAAGUUGAUAUAUUUACUGGAGGGACCUCUGCUCCUCAAAUGGUAAUUGCUACCCAACCACCUCUUGAACCUGCCGAACGCAUUGGAAGUACUCUCAUGCAAGCUCGUAACAUAUGACUUGACUUUCUUAUUUUUCAUGGUGCCAAUCAAACGGGAUGGAUUUUUCGAUAUGAGCAAUAUCGUCGCCUUACUGGAUUAUCAGAUGCUGACUUAUUGUCCUUAGCUAUUGGCCAUCUUGAUGGUGAUACUGUACCUUGGUUUAAUUGGAUAGAGCAAACUAUGGGCGCAAUUUAAACGGGCUUUGACUACUCAAUUUGGGACAUUAGAAGAGAAUGAUGCAGUUGGCAGUCUUACCAAACUACGUCAAAUAGGGACCGUUCUUGACUAUCAACGACAAUUUGAAAAGUUGGCUAAUCAGACUAGAAAUUUAACUGAGUCUUUCUUUAUCAGUUGUUUCCUCUCUGGGUUGCGUGAAGAUAUCAAGGCUGGCGUACAACUGUUCAAACCUGUUAGUCUUGUACAAACUUUUGAACUUGCUAGGUUUAGUAAAAGACAAUUACUUUGCAAGGCAACUGUUCCCCUGUUCCUGCCAUCCAAGAUCUAGUCCCACAAUUACAGCCGACUCCUACUCCACCAACACCCUCUUUAUUAGGACUGAUUUCCUCUACCUUACCUAAUAAUGUCAAACGUUUAUCCUCAGCUGAGCAGACAGAAAGACGUUCUGAAGGGCUCUGUUUCAACUCUGAUGAGCAAUUCAAGCCUGAACAUCGUUGCAAACAAUCUCAACUAUUGCUUUUAGACGCUGCUAUACCUCUUCACAACCCUCCAAAACCGCCUGACCAUCAUUCGGAUUGGAAGAUCUCGAUUAUUGAGACUGGGUAAAAGGCUUUCAGACAAGCCUGUUUGAAGGGGCAGGGAAUGUUAGGACCCUAAUAAUUUAUUUUAUUACUUGUUUUAAUUUUUUUUCCUAUUAAUACUAGGUUUUCUUAUUUCAAUUAUGAAUUAAUGCUCUUAUUAAAUUACAAUUAGAACCGUCUUGAACUACUAUAAAUAAGUGGUUCUUAUUAUAUUUUUGAAGGAGCAACAAUAAAAUUAAUUCUAAUCUCAGUUAAUUCUUCUCUCUUCCCUCUGAAUUCUUAAAUUCUUCAUUUAUUUCUCCCUUAAUUCUCUAACCAAAACCUCAUAAUCCUACCAGUAACGGACUGCAUUACGUUCGAGAAGACGAUUUACACACACACAAGAUAAUAAAGGCAUUUAAAUCACCUAAUUAAGUUGUAUAGGGAUAAAUAAUUAAAUUACAAAAAGCUCGACAUAUACUGAAAAAUAAAAAAGAAAUUGAACAAAGUCAUAAAUUUAUUGACAUCUAAAUUCUGAAAAUUGGUGUGUGUCUUCAGUAGGGAAAGUUAUCAUUUACAUACGGUUAUUUUUAUUGAUAUUUAAUACCUCUAUUUUAUGUUCAAUUGGAAGGAAUUCUAGGCUGUUCAGUUUUCUACUUACGGUAUUAUCACGAUCGUUGUUAUUGAGAAAAUUGUGGCAAUUUUUUUGAUUGAUAAUGAUGAUUUUAGUACGUGGCAGGCUCGGUGAUGCUGUUAUUUCGCGGAGCAUUUGGAUGCCCGCUCUAUACUGGUGAUUUUCGCUGGGAAGCAAGUAAUCAGAGGGCCGAGAUAGGAAGGAACACGCUCGUCAAAGCUUUAAAAGAUGAUGUAGUCGACAUUCUUUAUUUGGAUAACACAUAUUGCAGUCCAUCAUAUGCUUUCUUGUUUGAGAACUUUAUAUAUCCAAACUGAUAUAUGAUAGCAGGUACACUUUUUAUAUUUUUCCUUUCUUGUUUGAGAACUUUCAGUUUCACUCCAGAAUUAUCUACUGAAUUAAAGAUUAAAAUGGGAGAUGAAAGAAAUAGUCCAGGUACUGAUUUGUAGUGUUAGUUAUCUGGAUGAAAACAGAUUGUUGACAUAAUUGCCUCCCAUCCAGAUCAUGACAUCAUCAUUGGGAUUGACUCACUUGGAAAAGAAAAACUUUUAUUUCACAUAUCGCAUAAGCUCAAUAUAAAGGUUUGCUCACCCUUUUAAUAUCGGAAAACCUUUUCUUACAUAACGAUCAUCACGAUGGUCUCUCCAAGGGGGAUGAAAUCGAUAGCAUAUAUACAGCAAAUUGACAUGUUAUCUAAUUUUUGGAUCACUUGUAGAUGAUUUAGAAGGAUUUUGAUAGUUUUUAUUCUUCUAACAUCUAAAAUAUGUUUUACUUUUUAGAAACUGGGCGGGUUAGAUUGUCAUUUGGUGGAUUUAAUUGUGGCCAAAUUCAUACAUGAAAUGUAUUGUCACACAUGUAUUAUUGGAUGCAUCCAAUUGUAUGUUCUUCCUCUUCAUGUGCCAUGAGAACUUAAAACUGCCCUCUUCAUCUCUUGCAAAAUGUUGUUUAGUCACAAGCAAGUGGAAUAAAAUUUUUGCAUUCAUUUCCAAAGCAGAUAUUUACUCUGUGUUUCUUGUUUCACAUUUCUUUUUUUUUUUAUAGAUUUGGGUGUGGCCAGAACGCCUGCAAACCAUGCAUCUGCUUGGCUUCCAUGACACAUUCACAACCAAAACUUCUCUUGCUAGAGUGCGAGCUGUUCCACGGUAUAGUUUUAGCAUUGAUACUUUAGAGAAUUUAAAUACAAUGCACCAAACCAUUGGAAUUAUGCCAUCUGGUCUUCCUUGGGUGGUUAAGCCUCUUAAAGGAGGUCCUGGUUCUCUUUUUGCUUCUUACCAAAGCAAAUGGAGAGCAACGGGUUGAACUCAGACUGAGAAACUAAAAGAAGCUUUGGGAUCAGUGGACAGGUUUCGUAAGUACAUAUAUUCAGUUCCAUAUUCUGAUCAGUCCUGCUUUGCAGGGAUAGAGGAAUUUUUAAACCGUGCCCAGCCAUCGAAUAUCAGAGGCAUCGUGUCUUCAUCGUCCUGUUAUGUUGACCCUCUUUACUACUUUGGCCACCUUUGCAGAGCAAAUCAACCAUCACUGAGGUAUAAGCAGCAACAGAGAGUGCAGCACAAAACAGUUGUAGCCGCCCAAAUGAAAUUCAUUGUUGAAAGUGGUAGAUCCACUAAGGUAGAUAGGAAACGAAGGACUGCGGAAGUAGGUAUUUUAGGAGUUCGCAUGAGUAAGGUGGAUGCCCUUAGGCGGGCCCGACGAGGUGCGAAGCUUGCUCGAAGUGAGAGUUCUGAUUAAUUAGUGUCAAAUAUCAAUAUCAGGUAAGCUUGAAAUUCUUGCGAGUAAUGUUGCCUGUAUCAGUUUGAAUUCAGAGUCUAUUGUAUGGUUGAAGAAUACAUAUGGUGGUGUAGGGUGUAAGAAAAAUAAUCUUUUAUUUAUUUAUUUAUUUAUCUUGGAUGUCUAAAGCGACGGCCUAUUAGUGCUCAUUAAAGAAAAUGGUUGUGCGAAAGCACUUCGUCUGGAUCAAUCAUUUGAUUGUUUACGCGGGAUAGUUAUAGCGACUUUUCAAACUCGUGGCCUUUAAACACAUUAUAGUUUGCAAUCGUGGUCUUUACUCUUUACUUGAUUUGCAAUGAGGUAAAGAAGUCAAAUGACGGACCAAGAUAUUAGUUGAAGAAGCCAUACUACGGAUACGUCGCACGAGGUAUAUGUAAUCCCACGACACCUGGCAAGCGGACCGAAUCCAUGCGACUAUAGUAGCAGAGUCCGAUUCUACCUGCAAUAUAGAAUGGCCGAGGUGAGCUGCAAGCUCUAAGCUCUCAUGAACAGCCAUAAGCUCUAUGUAAAGGAUCGGACGAUAACCUAGGAAUGAUCCAAAAGUGCCUAAGAGCUCUCCCCAAGAGUCACGUAAAAUGCCCCCUGAAGCAGCCAUCCCUGGGUUUCCCCUAGAGCACCCAUCCACUGUCAACUUCACCACCCCCGGAGGUGGUCGAAUCCGAGAAAUCAGCCGAAGUGGUCUCCUAUGCCGUGUAACAACACGCCAUCCGUCCACUAAUCUACUAUCCAGGACGCCGCGCAGUUGGGAUGUUUUAAAACCGAAAGCAAAGCUGGCCAGCUUAAGAUCUGAAACUACUCGAAAAAUGACCGCAUCUACAAAAAAUGCCAUUGAAUCAAAUCUGUAAGCAUUUCGGGCCUUCCACACGUGCCAGAGGAUGAAACAAGGAAGUAGAACUCAAAUAUGGUUUCGGGAAGGAGCACAGCGCCUCCAGUGGCGAAGCAGCGCAUGAGGGGAGCGUUAUCUUUACUUGAUUUGCAAUAAGGUAAAGAAGUCAAUUGGGUAAUUUUUUUCUGUGAGAGUGAAUUGCGGCAAACGUGAGCAAAUUUUGCAUCAUUGUGCAUUUUGUUGUAGAAUGAGGAGAGUCAAUUUUCCUGACUAUCUAGACGAGUCUUUAGUUGAAUCUCUCCAUGGCCAUAAGUGGCCGGCAUAGACCAAAUCCUGAAACUGGUCAUAGUCCAAUAUGCAGACCACUCUGACUAUGGUCAAGACACUGGAAAAUGGUGAACGUUAGCUAAGUUUUGAAAGUUACCAAAAUUUAAUAAUAUCAUGUUUCUGAUUUCUAAUCAUGUUUUUUAUUUUGAAGAUUUCAGUUUUGACAAUUUGACUAAAUAAAUAUGCGGGUUAAAAUUUUCAUGAUCUAAAAAAAUGUAACGAGAACUAAUAAAAUUUAUUAUUUUAUUACGGUUUAUAUCAUUUGAAAUGUUGAUUCAAUAUAAAUGAUAUGUCCGGCCUUGUGGUGGCUGGUGGGUGCAAUUUGAGAUGGUAAAAUUUUUUUAUUUUGAAGACAAGAUGUGAAUCCCAUUUAAUAUUAUUAUUAAAUUAAGCAGUAUAAAGAAGUUAAGCAACCCAAAACCAUAAAGAAGUCAAACAGGCUAGAAGCCGUAAAGAAGUCUAGAAGCCAUAAAGAAACCGAAUAUCAUAAACUAAAGAAAAGAUAAAAUAUAGAGUAAUAACAGCAGCAAAAAAACAGAGAACAGUAGCGCCACAACAGAUCUAAUACUUGUCCGUUUGUAAUCAUAUGUUUGCUGUUGUUCUUUGUUUAUUGCAGCUGCUAUUACUCUCAUUUUAGCUUUUCCUUAGCUUAUGAUCUUCGGUUUCUAUAUGGCUUCUUGGCUGCUUAACUUCUUUACGGCUUCCAGGCCGCUUGACCUCUUAACGUCUCCUAAGUGUUUGACUUCUUUAUGGUUUACCCCAAAAUGACCGAAGUGUUCCACAUUUAUGUAUUUUAAAGAGGUGCAACCUCAAGAUUGUAAUUUGUAAAGGGCAUAAUUGUCAGUUCAAUUAGCUUAGUUGACUUGGGGAAGGACUAUAACAUCGUUCUUCUUCUCUAUGUCGGUCUGUCUAGCUGUUGUCUUUCUCUUAUGAGCAAUAAAACAAUACAUGAUAUGUAAAUUAUUUUUCACUCAAGUAUCUAUCUUGAUAGCACAGAAUUUGUUGUUGUUGCAGCAGCCAUGGCAAUCAUCAAGAACAAUUCAUGGUUGAUGCUUUUUGUUCUUUUUACGUGCUUUUCACUCAAAUCCCAUGUCUCCUUCGGAGCUGACACCGUUUCUGCAAACCAAUCUCUCUCUGGCGAUCAAACGAUCGUUCAAGGCGGAUGUACGGUACAGCAGUUCCUUCACGAGAAGUUGCAGCUCAGCAGGUUCUCUUCGGUUUUAAGAAUCUCAGAUGGUAACUUAGUUCUUUUUAAUGAGUCCCAACUACCCAUUUGGUCCACAAAUUUGACCGCUACCAGCAGACGUUCUGUGGAAGCAGUUCUUUUAGAUGAAGGAAAUCUUGUUUUGAGAGAUUUGUCAAAUAAUUUGUCAAAGCCUUUAUGGCAAAGUUUUGAUCAUCCAGCUCAUACUUGGAUUCCCGGUAUGAAGCUGACGUUCAACAAGAGAAACAACGUCAGUCAACUUAUCACUUCAUGGAAGAAUAAAGAAAAUCCUGCACCGGGUCUCUUCUCCCUUGAGCGAGCACCAGAUGGAUCAAAUCAAUAUGUUAUGUUGUGGAAUAGGUCUGAGCAGUACUGGUCAAGUGGACCUUGGGAUGAGAAUGCAAAAAUUUUCAGCAUGGUCCCUGAAAUGAAUCAAAACUAUAUCUACAAUUUCAGCUAUGUGUCGAAUGAAAACGAGAGCUAUUUCACCAACAAUGUGAAAGAUAGCACUUACACAUCUCGAUUCAUUAUGGAUGUUUCAGGACAGGUUAAGCAGAUGAAUUGGUUGCCUACCAACUCUUGGUUUCUGUUUUGGUCCCAACCAAGACAGCAAUGCGAGGUUUAUGCUCUUUGUGGUCAAUUUAGCACCUGCAAUCAGCAAACUGAGCGUUUUUGUUCUUGUUUGAAAGGUUUUCAACAAAAAUCGGUGAGUGACUGGAAUUUGGAAGAUUAUUCUGGUGGUUGUGUGAGGAAAACCCCGCUGCAGUGUGAAAAUAUUAGUCCUGCCAAUAGAAAAAGCGACCAAUUUUUCCAGUACAGUAACAUGAAAUUGCCUAAACAUCCACAAUCUGUGGCAGUAGGGGGUAUCAGGGAAUGUGAAACACACUGCUUGAAUAACUGCUCUUGCACUGCUUAUGCUUACAAAGACAACGCUUGCUCGAUUUGGGUAGGAAGUUUCGUGGGUCUGCAACAGCUACAAGGAGGUGGAGAUAUCAUUUAUAUCAAGCUUGCAGCUUCUGAGUUCGAGAGUCCCAAGAACAAGAAGGGAGUAGUCAUUGGCGGUGUUGUGGGCUCAGUGGCUGUCGUAGCUCUUAUUGGCCUGAUCAUGCUUGUAUACUUGGGAAGGAGAAAGACAGCAACUGUAACAACCAAAACUGUGGAGGGUUCUUUGGUGGCAUUUGCAUGCAAGGAUUUGCAAACUGCCACAAAGAAUUUCUCUAAAAAGCUGGGGGGAGGAGGUUUUGGUUCAGUUUUCAAAGGGGUGUUUCCGAAUUCAAGUCUCAUAGCUGUGAAGAAGCUUGAAAGCUUGAGCCAAGGAGAGAAGCAAUUUCGGACUGAAGUCAGAACCAUAGGGAAUAUCCAACAUGUCAAUCUGGUUCGGCUUCUGGGUUUCUGCUCUGAAGGUACUAGUAGGUUGUUGGUCUACGAUUUCAUGCCAAACGGUUCUUUAGACUCUCAUCUCUUCACUGAAAAAGAUUCAGACUUUCUUGAUUGGAAGACAAGAUACCAAAUUGCACUGGGGACAGCCAGAGGUUUGGCUUAUCUCCAUGAGAAGUGCAGAGACUGCAUCAUACACUGUGACAUAAAGCCAGAGAACAUUCUGUUAGACGCUGAAUUUUGUCCCAAAGUGUCGGAUUUUGGGCUGGCAAAGCUUGUUGGGAGGGAGUUCAGCCGUGUCCUAACAACCAUGAGAGGAACAAGAGGUUACCUUGCACCUGAAUGGAUUUCAGGAGUGGCCAUAACAGCCAAAGCGGAUGUCUACAGCUAUGGAAUGAUGCUGUAUGAAUUUGUAUCAGGAAGGAGGAACUCCCAGGAAUCUGAAGAUGGUAAAGUGAAGUUCUUCCCAUCUUGGGCUGCUAAACAAAUAGUUGAAGGCAGCAAUCUCAUUAGCCUAUUAGACCCAAGACUGGAGGGCAACGCUGACGAAGUAGAGCUUGCAAGACUUUGCAAAGUGGCUUGUUGGUGCAUCCAAGAUGAUGAGACUCACAGGCCAUCAAUGGGUCAAGUAGUUCAAAUUCUUGAGGGAGUUUUGGACGUGACACUGCCUCCAAUUCCCAGAGCUCUCCAAGUAAUGGUCGAUGACCAUGAGCACGUAGUCUUCUUCACUGAAUCAUCCACAUCUCAGAGUUCCCUGUCAAAGAGCAACAAUUCAACUGCUUCAUCUCAAGCAAAGAGUACCACAUCAUCAAGAAGUUCUUAAAUCGAUGUGAAGAAAAUAUUUUAACAUUUGUGUUUAAGAAUAUAUAUUUGGUUUAUUUCACUUGUAACAACCUGUAUGCAUAUUUGGAUAGAAGCCUUGCUUCGUAGUGUGUAUAAUAAUAAUGGAACCUGCCAAAGCAAUUUUAAGAAUUACAAGCCUUGUGCCUCGCUGUUCUCUCUAAUGAACUCUGAUUGAUCUAUGCUCCUCUGCAUUGACUAUUGGCUUCACCUAAUCGCUUCAAUUGGCAAAAUUAGGUAUUGAAAUAAAAGUGACUUGGAACUUGGAUGUUAUCCCGAAGAAGGGGAAAAACAGAAAAACAAUCAAACAAAUAAACAUAAACGUGACGUUGUAACAAAUAAUGUUUGGUAGUAUAUGAUAUGCAUACAUAAAUCGAAAACCAUAAAAUGUAAAAUAACUAGGUUAAGUGUGGUUAACUAAUCGAGACUUAAGUCUUAAUUUCUCUUAUAAAAACUUAAGUGUUGUAUCUAAGUCCGUCGUCAAUUUAAUACUUUUAAUAUAAGUUAUUAUUUAGAAAAGAAGGUGUGUUCAAUGAAUGACUUAUUUAUGAGUGCUAAUUAGAUUAAAAUUUAGAAUUUAGGAUAAAUUUACAGAAUCAUAAAUUAAUUUAUAAUAUUAUGAAAAUUAAUUUAUGACAUCAUAAAUUUGUCCCAAAUUUUGAAUUCAAACUUUAAUUUCAGAUUGAAAAAUUUUUCUCUAUCCAUAAAGUGUUUGGUUAAGGGGAAAAAAAUCAAAAGAAAAAAAAUCUAGGUGGGUGGUAUGACGUGGGGUUUACGUUUAAUGCGUAAAACAUGAUUUUAAUGUUUAUUUCUCACGAGGCAACAUUGAGAAUAUCGGAGUUGAGUUUAACACAAUUAAUCCUUAGCAAAUAUAUUAAAGCGAUUACACUUCCUGUCUCUCGUCUCAUGCAUGUUACUGCUGAUUGCCUUUGAUAUUUUAAACCAAUUUUGAUUCACCAAAUAAUCAAUCGAUUAAUUUAUUUGCUCUAAAUUCUCAUAACUUAUCCACUACAGAUUUCCAAUGCGGACUCAAGUAUGAAGUUUUUCUAGCCUCAUAUUUGCAUUCGUAAUUAUCACGUCACAUGUACAAGAGAAUGAUUUGAUAUACAAUUGAACAGAUAUUAAUGAAUCUAGAGUAGUUUCAAAUUAGUCAUCGACAUAAUUGAUGCUAAAAUAAUUUCUAAGAGACAAAUUUUAAUCUCAAAUCCCCCAAAAAAAAGAGUAGAUAAUUAAAAAAAAAAAAGCACAAACAAUUGCAAAAAGCUAUUUUUUAUAGUUUCACUUCAGUUCACAGCCUCCUCAUAUCGAGAAACAGCUUCUGAUCAAGCUCAAACUCUUGAAACAUAUUAUUUGUUACAUAUUUUUCAUGAACCAACUGGCCAACAUUGUUGAACUGUCGAUAUUUUUAUUGACUUCAAUUGACUAACAAGUUUCCUUCUUUUCUUGAAGGAUGGCUUUGACGGCGUUUCUUGAAGGAUGACUUGGACCUCUCGUUGAUUCGCGUCCUCGAUAUUGGUUCGUGACAUUCGAUCUCCCUGAUCUCGCCGCCUUCCGGAGAGAAGACGUUUGUCAAAGUUAUCGCAAUCGACGCUUGCCAUUGUCCUGGUAAGUCAUGGUUAAGCUAACAGUAACAAUAACGGCAUUGAUAACUGUUAGAACACUAAUAGUUUAUUUUAUUACUUGUUUUAAUUCAUUUCUUCUUAGCAUUAGGUUUUUUUUUUCAAUUAUAAAUUAAUGUUUUUAUUAAAUUAUAGUUAGGACUGUCUUAAACGAUUAUAAAUAAAUAGUUUUUAUUAUAUUUUUGAGGAAAUAAUAAUAAAAUUAAUUCUAAUUUCUGUUAAUUCUUUUCUCUUCCCUCUGAAUUCUUAAAUUCAUUAUUUAUUUCUCUUUUAACUCUCUAAUCAAAACCUUAGAAUCCUACCAUCUGGUAUUAGAGCACAUCCUUCCUGCCACAAUUUUUAUUUUUCCAUUCACUAUUUUUUUUUAAAAGUCAUCAACCAAACUUUUGCCAAUAUCUCUUGGCUUUUGACUGGAGACUUAAACCGGACCCACCCUCUAAACUUUUUCCAAUAUCUAAACUUUUUCAACCGAACUUGAAUUUUCUUGAGAGUUUUUUUGAGGCAUCAUGAUUGGUAAGGAGCUUGAAGGCAAAGUUCAACAGUUUCAUGACAAAGUUACAACCAUCGAUGAAAAGGUUACGACCUUAGCCAAGCAAAAUAACGAUCUGCAGGAACUCAUGAACGACAUCCUUCAGCAAUUGAGCCAGUUGCGAAAAGGAAAACAACCGACUACUGAUCAAAGACAAGUUGAUAUAUUUACUGGAGGGACCUCUGCUCCUCAAAUGGUAAUUGCUAUCCAACCACCUCUUGAACCUGCCGAACGCAUUGGAAGUACUCUCAUGCAAGCUCGUAACAUAUGACUUGACUUUCCUAUUUUUCACGGUGACAAUCGAACGGGAUGGAUUUUUCGAUAUGAGCAAUAUCGUUGCCUUACUGGAUUAUCAAAUGUUGACUUAUUGUGCUUAGCUAUUGGCCAUCUUGAUGGUGAUACUGUACCUUGGUUUCAUUGGAUAGAGCAAACUAUGGGCGAAAUGACUUGGGCGCAAUUUAAAUGGGCUUUCACUACUCAAUUUGGGACAUUAGAAGAGAAUGAUGCAGUUGGCAGUCUUACCAAAUUACAUCAAAUAGGGACAGUUCUUGACUAUCAACGACAAUUUCAAAAGUUGACCGAUCAGACUAGCAAUUUAACUGAGUCUUUCUUCAUCAGUUGUUUCCUUUAUGGGUUACAUGAAGAUAUCAAGGCUGGCGUACAACUGUUCAAACCUGUUAGUCUCGUACAAACUUUUGAACUUGCUAGGUUUAGUAAAAGACAAUUACUUUGCAAGGCAACUGUUCCCCCGUUCCCGCCAUCCAAGAUCUAGUCCCACAAUUACAGUUGACUCCUACUCCACCAGCAGCAGACAGAAAGACGUUCUAAAGGGCUUUGUUUCAACUGUGACGAGCAAUUUAAGCCUGGGCAUUGUUGCAAACAAUCUCAACUAAUGCUUUUAGACGUUGAUAUAACUCUUCACAACCCUCCAAAACCGCCUGACCAUCAUUCAGAUUGGAAGAUCUCGAUUAUUGAGACUAGGUAAAAGGCUUGCAGACAAGCCUGUUUUAAUGGGCAGGGAAUGUUAGGACCCUAAUAAUUUAUUUUAUUGCUUGUUUUAAUUUUUUUCCUAUUAAUAUUAGGUUUUCUUAUUUCAAUUAUGAAUUAAUGCUCUUAUUAAAUUAUAAUUAGGACCGUCUUGAACUACUAUAAAUAAGUGGUUCUUAUUAUAGUUUUGAGGGAGCAACAAUAAAAUUAAUUCUAAUCUCAUUUAAUUCUUCUCUCUUCCCUCCGAAUUCUUAAAUUCUUCAUCUAUUUCUCCCCUAAUUCUCUGACCAAAACCUCAUAAUCCUACUAGUAACGGACUGCAUUACGUUCGAGAAGACAAUUUACACACACACAAGAUAAUAAAGGCAUUUAAAUCACCCAAUUAAGUUGUAUAGCGAUAAAUAAUUAAAUUACAAAAAGCUCGACAUAUACUGAAAAAUAAAAAAGAAAUUCAACAAAGUCAUAAAUUUAUUGACAUCUGAAUUCUGAAAAUAUGGUGUGUGUCUUCAGUUGGGAAAGUUAUAAUUUGCAUACGGUUAUUUUUAUUGAUAUUUAAUACCUCUAUUUUAUGUUCAAUUGGAAGGAAUUCUAGGCAGUUCAAUUUUCUACUUACGGUAUUAUCACGAUCGUUGUUAUUGAGAAAAUUUUGGCAAUUUUUUUGAUUGAUCAUGAUGAUUUUAGUACGUGGCAGGCUCGGUGAUGUUGUUAUUUCGCGGAGCAUUUGGAUGCUUGCUCUAUACUGGUGAUUUUCGCUGGGAAGCAAGUAAUAAGAGGGCUGAGAUAGGAAGGAACACGCUCGUCAAAGCUUUAAAAGAUGAUGUAGUCGACAUUCUUUAUUUGGAUAACACAUAUUGCAGUCCAUCAUAUGCUUUUGCUUCAGGAGAAGUUGCAGCUCAGCAGGUACACUUUUUAUAUUUUUCCUUUCUUGUUUGAGAACUUUCAGUUUCACUCCAGAAUUAUCUACUGAAUUAAAGAUUAAAAUGGGAGAUGAAAGAAAUAGUCCAGGUACUGAUUUGUAGUGUUAGUUAUCUGGAUGAAAACAGAUUGUUGACAUAAUUGCCUCCCAUCCAGAUCAUGACAUCAUCAUUGGGAUUGACUCACUUGGAAAAGAAAAACUUUUAUUUCACAUAUCGCAUAAGCUCAAUAUAAAGGUUUGCUCACCCUUUUAAUAUCGGAAAACCUUUUCUUACAUAACGAUCAUCACGAUGGUCUCUCCAAGGGGGAUGAAAUCGAUAGCAUAUAUACAGCAAAUUGACAUGUUAUCUAAUUUUUGGAUCACUUGUAGAUGAUUUAGGAGUAUCUUGAUAGUUUUUAUUCUUCUAACAUCUAACAUAUGUUUUACAUUUUAGAAACUGGGCGGGUUAGAUUGUCCUUUGGUGGAUUUAAUUGUGGCCAAAUUCAUACAUGAAAUGUAUUGUCACACAUGUAUUAUUGGAUGCAUCCAAUUGUAUGUUCUUCCUCUUCAUGUGCCAUGAGAACUUAAAACUGCCCUCUUCAUCUCUUGCAAAUUGUUGUUUAGUCACAAGCAAGUGGAAUAAAAAUUUUUGCAUUUAUUUCCAAAGCAGAUAUUUACUCUGUAUUUCUUGUUUCACAUUUUUUUUAUAGAUUUGGGUGUGGCCAGAACGCCUGCAAACCAUGCAUCUGCUUGGCUUCCAUGACAUAUUCACAACCAAAACUUCUCUUACUAGAGUGCGAGUUGUUCCACGGUAUAGUUUUAGCAUUGAUACUUUAGAGAGUUUAAAUACAAUGCACCCAACGAUUGGAAUUAUGCCAUCUGGUCUUCCUUGGGUGGUUAAGUCUCUUAAAGGAGGUAGUAGUCUUCCUGGUUUUCUUUUUCCUUCUUACCAAAGCAAAUGGAGAGCAACGGGUGGAACUCACACUGAGAAACUGAAAGAAGCUUUAGGCGGGCCCGACGAGGUGCGAAGCUUGCUCGAAGUGAGAGUUCUGAUUGAUUAGGGUCAAAUAUCGAUAUCAGUUAAGCUUGAAAUUCUUGCAAGUAAUGUUACUUGUAUCGGUUUGAAUUCAGAGUCUAUUGUAUGGUUGAAGAAUACAUAUGAUGGUGUAGGGUGUAAGUAAUAUAAUCCUUUUAUUUAUUUAUUUAUCUUGGAUGUCUAAAGCGACGGCCUAUUAGUGCUCAUUAAGGAAAAUGGUUGUGUGAAAGCACUUCGUCUGGAUCAGUCAUUUGACUGUUUACGCCUGGAUCAGUCAUUUGAUUGUUUACGCGGGAUAGGUAUAGUGGCUUUUUGGUUUAGAUUAUUAUAGUUGUUUUCAAACUCGUGGCCUUUAAACACAUUAUAGUUUGACAAUCAUGGUCUUUACUUGAUUUGCAAUAAGGUAAAGAAGUCAAAUGGGUAAUUAUUUUCUGUGAGAGUGAAUUGCGGCAAACAUGAGCAAUUUUUGCAUCAUUGUGCAUUUUGUUGUAGAAUGAGGAGAGUCAACUUUCCUGACCAUCUAGAUGAACCCUUAGUUGAAUCUCUCCAUGGCCAUAAGUGGGCGGCAUAGACCAAAUCCUGAAACUAGUCAUGGUCUAAUAUGCAAACCACUCUGACUAUGGCCAAGACACUGGAAAAUGGUGAAUGUUAACUUAGUUUUGAAAGUUAUCAAAUUUAAUAAAACAAAUCAAAUUUAUAAAGUUUUAAAAGUUAUCAAAAUUUAAUAAAACAAAUCAAAUUUAUAAAGUUUUAAAAGUUAUCAAAAUUUAAUAAAACAAAUCAAAUUUAUAAAGUUUUAAAAGUUAUCAAAAUUUAAUAAAACAAAUCAAAUUUAUAAAGUUUUAAAAGUUAUCAAAAUUUAAUAAAACAAAUCAAAUUUAUAAAGUUUUAAAAGUUAUCAAAAUUUAAUAAAACAAAUCAAAUUUAUAAAGUUUUGAAAGUUAUCAAAAUUUAAUAAAAAAAAUCAAAUUUAUAAUUAGGGGUCCAGCUACGGUGCCCCUUUGGGCACGGUGUCCCCUUCUUUUGUCAUUAUCCAGGCUAGCCGUUAGAUUAUAAUGACUUUAAUCCAACGUUUCGGAUUUUGAAACUGUACAAUGAUGUGAAGUGGGCAACUGUCCAAUCCCGAUAUACUAAUACUAUUGUAGCUCUAAAUAAGAAGUAAUAAGAUUAUUAACACUAUAAGGUUAAUGGAAGGAAAAUCUAUCUAAGCCUGAAAUGAUACAAACUACAUAUGUUCGAAUUUAUGGUAGCUGAAAAAUCUUUCAUGAUUUGUUCUACUCCUUGAUCACAUAAGUGGGUUGAAUUAAUUUAUAUAUUUGAAAUUAGGUGGUUGAAUAACGAUGGCAUGACCAUAUGGAUUCAAUUUCUUGAUGGACCAAUAACCUUGUUUCGACUGAAAUCAAUACGUGCAAGUAGUCAAUUUGACAGUUGACAUAAACUGUGCUUUUGAAUUGCAAUGGAACAUAAAUGAACAAGCUUUCAUCUAGCUUUACAGAGUGUGAACUAAAUGGUGUAGCAAAUAUAAAUGAAAGAAGAAGGAGCCCGAGGGGUGGAGGCGUUAAGAACUUAAAUAGCAGGUUUUAUUCUGUCGAAAUACUACAAGCACAUUUGUAAUAUUCAAAAGAUGCUGCAACUGUAGUUCUUAGUAUUUCGAGUCAGAAAACUAAGCUUCAAUAUCAUGACAUAACAAAAUAUACAAUAAAAAUUGCACGGACAUAAUAAUUGUCAUAUUUCCAUAACAACGUUACCAAGUCCGUAAAAGCUAGGAAUAACAAAACACAUAAAAAUAGUUUCAUAUUAGAGAAUAUCUGAAUUUACAGAGCAUAGAUUAUGUCUAAAUUUCCUGGUUGGUUGAGUUUCUUCGAUGAUCUUGUUCGAAAGCUAAUACCAUUCGUUUCUAAAAUGUACCUCACAGUAUCAAUCAUCUCAAUUAAACUGCCACAAAGUUUCCUCUUUAGCCUACCACAGUUGUAGCAAACUACCAAAACCCAUUUGACAAGCAGCCACUCUUUGUUCAUCUAUCAGCUACGAAACUGCUGCCGCUAAUCUAUCUGGGGCGAAUCUAGUCAAGAACUUUGCCUUUGCCACUUCUGACUUCACUAUUUGUUCGCAUUCAAUUUGUAUUAACAUUUUCUCUCCGGUGGUAAAUCCUUAAACGUGGAUCCAAUUUCCAUCUAGUACACAAUCAUGGCAGAUAAACUAACUACAUCUCCACUAAUUGAAAAUACAAAUUUAUUUUAUCUUUAUAGUGCAACUUUACAUACCUCUUCUGUAAUGCAAGUCAUUCCAUCGCUUGCCUUAACCUCAUGCACGGCUUCACUGCUGCAAUAUCAUCAUAUGACUGCAAAAUUAUACAUCUCUAUAAUUUUUAAUGAACUAAGCUUACAAAUAUCUUAUGAACCCAUUAUGGCAUUUCCUUUUUCUUCUUCCUUCAAUACUUUGAUCGUCACCAACCUCUUUAACACCGCCAUCAAUCUCACACGAUUUAUGCUUAUUACUUCCCACCAACUUAAUUUAUGAAAUUCAGUGAUACAUUUAUUUAUUAUAAUCAAACUAAAGUUCAUAGCAACAUAAAGUUUACAUUCCUAGUCCAGCACAAAACAAACAAAAAAAUUGGGGAAAAAAAUAAACAAAGGAGAUCUGGAACGAAGGUAAAGCAUGUAUCAUUUUCCUGUUCCUAAUUUUAAAAAUGUUCAUUGUAAAACUUAAUAACACCCAAGCUAACUGGAACUAAUUGUUACGGAUUCAAAUAUCAUUUUAAUACAUGGAAUUACUAAGAUGAAUAUUAUGACAAAAAAAUCCUUUACAUUAUUACAUUGUUGAGAAAAUAUCCAUAACUUUAUUUUAAAAUAUUUGUGCACCCCAAUUUUGCCAUUAUCCUUAUGAGAUCUAGCUUCCCACCAACCAUAUUAUGAACAACAAAUGAUUCACAUCACAAAUCUCAUAUUAAAAUUACACUUACCUUAAAUUUGGUAUAUGCAAUCCUUUCUGUUUCAUUCAAUACUGCUAUAACAAACUACAAGUCACUGCACUCCACUUCAAAAAUUUGACACGACAUCAUUGCUCCAAUUACAGUUAUACAGAAUUAAGAAAAUAUUCCUGCUUUAAAAAUUUCGCCAAUGUCUGUUGAAAUACAACCAAGGGUAUGUAGAGGGUCCAGCUACAAUAUCCAUGGGGUUUGGUACCCCAUUUUUUGUUUUUUUCAAACCUACCGUUAGAUUUAACGUAAGUGCAUAAUGGCUGAGAUGUGAUUAUUGAGUUAUUAACAUCAAAGACCCUUAUUGUUCAUGUAAAAUAAAAAAAAAUCAAAAGUUUUGAAAUUAUGACAUAUAAGUCAAUAAUAUUCUCUUUUUUUUUUAACUCUAUUGAAAUAUGUUUCCAAUUAAAUGACUUAUUCUUAUAUUUAUUAGUAUCUAUUUAAAUUAAUAAAUUUAUUAAUUAAUAAAUUAACUACUUUAUUAUAUAAUUAAACUAUGUAUAUUAUUUAUUAAGGGUUAUUUUUAGAGACCUCCCCUGAGGUUUGGUGUAUUGACAGUCUGAUAGAAAGUAUUCACGUAAUUACAGGGACCUCCCCUGACGGUACUACAUGGUUAACUUGACUGUUAGUGGACUAACGAAAAGCCAAAAAUGCCCUGAGCCUAAAAAAUGCUUUGGCAGUUAACAAUUUCUUUAAUGAUAGUAACUACAGUUUGGCGUUAAACAUCACACUAAAACACUAAAAAGUCUAAACUGACCAUUUAAAACAAAUCAUUGACAUUACAUAAUAUUAAAAAAAGGAGAAAAAUAUAAAUUGACAAAAUCAACAAAGCUAUCAAUGUAGUGAAUAUUUACAGCAACAAUGGUUGUAAAUACAGCCAUUGUCAAGUUAAAAUCACCAUUACAACCAUUGCUUCUUUAACUUUCAUCUCACAAUUUCUUCCUUCAUCAUUCAACAUCUCAAAAGCUCAAUAAUUAGUAAGCUGCUUCAAUAAAACAAUAAACAAACCAUAAUUCACUUUUCAAUGCAUUCAAAAUACACAACGAAUAUUCCUUAGCCAUUUAAAUUGAAGCCAAAGAAGAAAAGAAAAGAAAAAAAAUCUUCCUUUGUUAUUCCAAGUUUCACACCACUAGCCAUAUGAAGAAGGCAGACUAAAGCGUAAGAAAAUGCUACUGCCACAGCAAAAGUCUAGACCAAUUGGGUAAUGAUACCUGCCAUGCCAAUUUCAAGGCAAGCAAAAAUCAAUUAUCAUCCCCAGACCAAAAUACCAGCAAACCUACCUUUUGAAUUUAAAUAAUAAGUAAAUAAAUCAAAGAUUUCAACUCAUUUAAGUUUGAAAUCAAUUAAAAUAGCCAAAAAGAAAAAAAAAAUUCGUCCAACAUAACUUAUCCAGCAAUUUCUUCAACACAUAAUUUCAUUCUUAAUCAUCACAACAAUUAAAAAAGAAAAACAAUGAGCCCAAGUGAUUGAUCUUGCCAUAAUGUACUCCUACCAGCAACCGAAGUCGAGCAUACAUACGACGAUCUUCGUGCGUGAAUAGCCGGGAGGAAAGAAAGGGCGGUAGAUGAUAAUGAAAAAGAUGCGAUCGAGUUUGCUGUAGAAAUUUCUACUCUCCGAUUAGACCCAAAGCUUGUUCAAAAGGGUCUCCUUUUCCUCCGUUGAGAUCAAAUCCCUACCGACGAGCUGCCAACAACUAACAAGGGUCACUACGAAUAGCUAACAACUGCUUUGCUACUACUGGCUCACUCUGAACGAGAUUCCGAUCCCCUGUCUCGUGAGCAAAGCCUUCGAUUCCUUCACGUAGGCCGAGACGGAUUGGUUCAAAAGCUUCUCCAGAGCUUUUCAACCUUGAAAAUGGUUGUGGGUUUCGUUUAAUGAGAGAGAAAAUAGUGUUUUGGUUCUUUGAUUUUUUUUUUAAUUUAUGAAAUCACUAAUUUACCCUCAUAUACUAACAUAUACGAAAACGUGUACUAACGUUAGGGGAAGUCUCUGUAAUUACACAAAUACUUUCUAUCAGAUUGUCAAUACACUAAAACUCAAGGGAGAUCCUUAAAAAUAACUCUAUUUACUAACUAUAAUUAAUAAUAACAAUAAAUAUAAAUAUGAUCUUUUUUUAAUUUAAUAUAACGACAACUAAUUUCUUUUGACGUAUGUGAAUAAAGUUCAAAACCCAUAAUUUUUUUUUCCGCCAGACGGUGACCCUUGUGGGUCUAUCAACAAUUCAAAGAUUGCACAACUUGAUUGUCCGUUUCCAAUCACUCAUUUCUUUCUCUCUGGCCAACCAAACGCGUAAAACUGAUUAACGUUGUUGAUGGAGUUUUAAAUAUGAUCAAAUGGCUGUGAUUGUUUGUAGGCUUGGUCCUAUAAAGCUCAAUCGACCUACAAGCCAAUAAAAAAAAUUAAUUGAAAUUGCUAGCACUAGCCGCAACUGGGCCCCAUUCACAUUACGAGGUUCACCUCCUCUAGAACUUGUACAGGUGGACAUGGUUACAAACUAUUGCUUUUGUAGAAACAAUCCAAGUUGAUGUCUAGGGUGGAUAUUAAAAUCUUGCUGACGUGGCUGAAUCUGUUAUAUUGGUUUAAGAAUUACUACAUGCAUGUGUAACAGCUUAUUAACAAGGAAUUGACACUUGUUAUAUAUGUGUGUAAAAUACAUUGAUUCAAUAAUAAGAAGUUUUCAGUUUAUCAAUAUUUUCUUUCUCUUCCGUUUAACUUUCUCGUUUACCAAAUACAACAUUUGGUUUUCUUUCACAAAGUGUCGGAUUUUGGGCUGGCAAAGCUUGUUGGGAGGGAGUUCAGCCGUGUCCUAACAACCAUGAGAGGAACAAGAGGUUACCUUGCACCUGAAUGGAUAUCAGGAGUGGCCAUAACAGCCAAAGCGGAUGUCUACAGCUGCGGAAUGAUGCUGUUUGAAUUUGUAUCGGGAAGGAGGAACUCUGAGGAAUUUGAAGAUGGUAAAGUGAGGUUCUUCCCAUCUUGGGCUGCUAAACAAAUAGUUGAAGGCAGCAAUCUCAUUAGCCUAUUAGACCCAAGACUGGAGGGCAACGCAUAGGAAGAAGAGCUUGCAAGACUUUGCAAAGUGGC